GACGAACGCUGGCGGCGUGCCUAAUACAUGCAAGUCGAGCGCAGGAAGCUGACGGAACUCUUCGGAGAGAAGGCAGUGGAAUGAGCGGCGGACGGGUGAGUAACACGUAAGGAACCUGCCUCAAGGAUUGGGAUAACUCCGAGAAAUCGGAGCUAAUACCGGAUAGUUCAACGGACCGCAUGGUCCGCUGAUGAAAGGCGCUUCGGCGUCACCUCGAGAUGGCCUUGCGGUGCGUUAGCUAGUUGGUGGGGUAACGGCCCACCAAGGCGACGAUGCAUAGCCGACCUGAGAGGGUGAUCGGCCACACUGGGACUGAGACACGGCCCAGACUCCUACGGGAGGCAGCAGUAGGGAAUCUUCCACAAUGGACGAAAGUCUGAUGGAGCAACGCCGCGUGAGUGAUGAAGGUUUUCGGAUCGUAAAACUCUGUUGUAAGGGAAGAACACGUACGAGAGGGAAUGCUCGUACCUUGACGGUACCCUACGAGAAAGCCACGGCUAACUACGUGCCAGCCGCCGCCGUAA
rnacentral:rRNA from 1 species